GAUCAUGACUCAGGACGAACGCUGGCGGCGCGCCUAACACAUGCAAGUCGAACGAGCGAGAGGAAGUUUACUUUUUCAAGCGAGUGGCGAACGGGUGAGUAACGCGUGAGGAACCUGCCUCAAAGAGGGGGACAACAGUUGGAAACGACUGCUAAUACCGCAUAAGCCCACGGCUCGGCAUCGAGCAGGGGGAAAAGGAGCAAUCCGCUUUGAGAUGGCCUCGCGUCCGAUUAGCUAGUUGGUGAGG
rnacentral:rRNA from 1 species